UCCUGAUCCGAUUAAGUAUAAAAAGGCAGUCUUUAGGAGGGCAUAUCUAUAUAGCACAGAUAGGCAAGAUCUUGAAGAAGAGUUACAGUUUAUAUACAAAAUAGGAAAACAGCAUAGAUAUAGCCUAGGAUUCUUAAAACAUUUGCAGACCAAGGCUGAGCAGGCAUUAAGCAGAAUGAAUGCCACAACUCAAAAUGUACAAGGCGGAGCAGAGAAUGAGGAAGGUUACGUCGCAUUGCCAGCACAAGUCGCGAGGCAUACAACAGUGGGAGGCAUUUUGAAGAAGAUAAGGGGGAGACCAGUGAUACGUAGGACACAGACAAUUUUUAAUAGGAUACGUAACGAAAAAGACAUGAGAAGUGAGAAUUGGAAAUCCGGAGUAUACAAAAUACC
rnacentral:lncRNA from 1 species